CACGGGGGUUGCGAGCGUUGUCCGGAAUUACUAGGCGUAAAGGGCGGGCAGGCGGAUCCAUAAGUUUAUCGUUUAAGGCGUCGGCUUAACCGGCGUAGGGCGGUAGAUACUGUGGAUCUGGAAUGCGGUUGGGGAAGACAGAAUUCCUGUGUAGCGGUGGAAUGCGCAGAGAUCAGGAGGAAUACCGAAGGCGAAGGCAGUCUUCCAAGCCGUUAUUGACGCUCAACUGCGAAGGUGUGGGUAUCAAACAGGAUUAGAUACCCGGGUAGUCCCUGAGCGGG
rnacentral:rRNA from 1 species